AUUGAACGCUGGCGGCAUGCUUUACACAUGCAAGUCGAACGGUAACAGGCCUUCGGGUGCUGACGAGUGGCGCACGGGUGAGUAAUGCAUCGGAACGUGCCCAGAGGUGGGGGAUAACGCAGCGAAAGCUGUGCUAAUACCGCAUGUGAUCUGAGGAUGAAAGCGGGGGACCAGGCAGCAAUGUUUGGCCUCGCGCCUUUGGAGCGGCCGAUGUCAGAUUAGGUAGUUGGUGGGGUAAAGGCCUACCAAGCCGACGAUCUGUAGCUGGUCUGAGAGGACGGCCAGCCACACUGGGACUGAGACACGGCCCAGACUCCUACGGGAGGCAGCAGUGGGGAAUUUUGGACAAUGGGCGCAAGCCUGAUCCAGCAAUGCCGCGUGCGGGAAGAAGGCCUUCGGGUUGUAAACCGCUUUUGUACGGAACGAAAAGGCUCUGGCUAAUACCUGGGGCUGAUGACGGUACCGUAAGAAUAAGCACCGGCUAACUACGUG
rnacentral:rRNA from 1 species